UGGGGAAUUUUGCACAAUGGGGGAAACCCUGAUGCAGCGACGCCGCGUGAUUUAGAAGGCCUUCGGGUUGUAAAAAUCUUUUUUAUGGGAUGAAAAUGACAGUACCAUAAGAAUAAGGUCCGGCUAAAUACGUGCCAGCAGCCGCGGUAAUACGUAUGGACCGAGCGUUGUCCGGAAUCAUUGGGCGUAAAGGGUACGUAGGCGGCCCAGUAAGUUAGAAGUGAAAUAAUAUAGCUCAACUAUAUAAAGCUUUUAAAACUGCUAGGCUUGAGAGAUGGAAGGGAAAGUGGAAUUCCUAGUGUAGCGGUGAAAUGCGCAGAUAUUAGGAAGAAUACCGGUGGCGAAGGCGACUUUCUGGUCAUCAUCUGACGCUGAGGUACGAAAGCGUGGGUAGCAAACAG
rnacentral:rRNA from 1 species